ACAAAAUAUGGCACGAAUCCUUAUCAUCAAUUGCGUCGUUUUACUCCUCCACAGCUAUUUGAUCAUUUAGCAGUGCCUAGAGAAAGAUAUUCCGUCAUUGCGGUCAAUUUUCGCUAGCGGUACCUUCGUCUUCUAAGGUGUACGGUUAGAUAGCUACUGCAUACAAAAAUAUGCCCUCCAGAACCAAUGUAUUCGGGAUACAUCAGUUCUUCUAUUCACCUCCCCGAUAAUAAUUUAGAUAUUUAAUUCAAACAUUUGUAUUAUGCUUUAAAGGGAUCUAAACUCCUCGUGCAAAUCGUUUUGAGUCGUGUCGCGCGAAUUGGGCUCCCUUCUCUUAAAAAGAUUAAUUUAAGUCACAAAUUUCUUCCAG
rnacentral:sRNA from 1 species